UACGUAGGUGGCAAGCGUUGUCCGGAUUUACUGGGUGUAAAGGGCGUGCAGCCGGAGAGACAAGUCGGAUGUGAAAUCCACGGGCUCAACCCGUGAACUGCAUUUGAAACUGUUUCCCUUGAGUGUCGGAGAGGUAAUCGGAAUUCCUUGUGUAGCGGUGAAAUGCGUAGAUAUAAGGAAGAACACCAGUGGCGAAGGCGGAUUACUGGACGAUAACUGACGGUGAGGCGCGAAAGCGUGGGGAGCAAACAGG
rnacentral:rRNA from 1 species